UUAUUCGAUGAUAGCGAAGAACCUUACCUGGGCUUGACAUGCAUUUGCCAGCCCGUGAAAGCGGGUCUUCUUUCGAGACAAGUGCACAGAUGUUGCAUGGCUGUCGUCAGCUCGUGCCGUGAGGUGUUGGGUUAAGUCCCGCAACGAGCGCAACCCUCGUCGUUAGUUACUAUGUCUAGCGAGACUGCUCCUAAAAGGGGAGAGGAAGGUGGGGACGAGGUCAAGUCGGCACGGCUCUUACGCCCAGGGCUACACACACGCUACAAUGG
rnacentral:rRNA from 1 species